GACGAACGCUGGCGGCGUGCUUAACACAUGCAAGUCGAACGGAAAGGCCUUUUCGGAGGUACUCGAGUGGCGAACGGGUGAGUAACACGUGGGUGAUCUGCCCUGCACUCUGGGAUAAGCCUGGGAAACUGGGUCUAAUACCGGAUAGGACCGCACUUUAGUGUGUGUGGUGGAAAGUUUUUUCGGUGUAGGAUGAGCCCGCGGCCUAUCAGCUUGUUGGUGGGGUAAUGGCCUACCAAGGCGGCGACGGGUAGCCGGACUGAGAGGUUGGUCGGCCACAUUGGGACUGAGAUACGGCCCUGACUCCUACGGGAGGCAGCAGUGGGGAGUAUUGCACAAUGGGCGCAAGCCUGAUGCAGCGACGCCGCGUGGGGGAUGACGGCCUUCGAGUUGUAAACUCCUUUCGCCAGGGACGAAGCGUUUUGUGACGGUACCUGGAGAAGAAGCACCGGCUAACUACGUG
rnacentral:rRNA from 1 species